GGGCGGGCCUUUCCCUCAGCGGAACCCCAUGCCCAUCACUGGGUGUGGCGGGGAAACAGGACUUUUACUGUGAAAAAAUUAGAGUGCUCCAGGCAGGCCUAUGCUCGAAUACAUUAGCAUGGAAUAAUAGAAUAGGACGUGUGGUUCUAUUUUGUUGGUUUCUAGGACCGCCGUAAUGAUUAAUAGGGACAGUCGGGGGCAUCAGUAUUCAAUUGUCAGAGGUGAAAUUCUUGGAUUUAUUGAAGACUAACUACUGCGAAAGCAUUUGCCAAGGAUGUUUUCAUUAAUCAGGAACGAAAGUUAGGGGAUCGAAGACGAUCAGAUACCGUCGUAGUCUUAACCAUAAACUAUGCCGACUAGGGAUCGGACGRUGUUAUAUUUUGACYCGUUCGGCACCUUACGAGAAAUCAAAGUGCUUGGGCUCCAGGGGGAGUAUGGUCGCAAGGCUGAAACUUAAAGAAAUUGACGGAAGGGCACCACCAGGGGUGGAGCCUGCGGCUUAAUUUGACUCAACACGGGGAAACUCACCAGGUCCAGACACAAUGAGGAUUGACAGAUUGAGAGCUCUUUCUUGAUUUUGUGGGUGGUGGUGCAUGCCGUUCUUAGUUGGUGGAGUGAUUUGUCUGCUUAAUUGCGAUAACGAACGAGAACUUAACCUGCUAAAUA
rnacentral:rRNA from 1 species